rnacentral:misc_RNA from 1 species
ACAACUAAAAGAAAUCAAAUUCCAGAUAAUUAUUCUGCUCAGGAAGAACAGCAGGUGCACCUUUACCACUUGUUGAUGGUGGAGUUGGAAUCUGCUCUAUCUCUAGCGGCUUAGGAAUCUCAGGUGGGCUUGCGCAACGAAUCAAUGCCCAGUUUACACCUUCAAAGAAGGAAUGUUGUUUAAUCUCUGUAGCUCCUCGUUUAUAAGCCAGUCUAUGUUGUGGCUCUUUCACCAGCAAGCCCCUUAUCAGAUCUUUUGCUGAGAAACUGACAAUUGGUGACUCGGGAAAUCUUAAUGGCUGACCCACCACAUUGAAGAGGGUAGCACGGUUCCCAGACCCUUUGAAUGGAGUUUUACCAAACAGUAACUCAUACAGAAAGAUUCCAAAAGUCCACCAAUCUACAGCACUUCCAUGCCCUUCACCCUUGAUAAUUUCAGGGGCCAGGUAUUCAUGGGUGCCAACAAAGGACAUGGAACGUGCAUCAGUCGGCUCUGCAAUAAGCUCUGGCAAUGGGGUGACUUGGUUCCCCAUUUCAUUCUUGGGUUUUCGAUCUUUCCUGGAUUUGCUUAAAAAGAGUCGAGGCGAAAAACAUGUUGUAGGGGCCACACAUGAAGGCUGGAUACAAGAUGGCUCAAUACAAGCUGGUUGAACACAAUAAGCUGGG